rnacentral:rRNA from 1 species
GAUGAACGCUGGCGGCGUGCUUAACACAUGCAAGUCGAACGAAGCACUUUAUUUGAUUUCCUUCGGGACUGAUUAUUUUGUGACUGAGUGGCGGACGGGUGAGUAACGCGUGGGUAACCUGCCUUGUACAGGGGGAUAACAGUUGGAAACGGCUGCUAAUACCGCAUAAGCGCACGGCAUCGCAUGAUGCAGUGUGAAAAACUCCGGUGGUAUAAGAUGGACCCGCGUUGGAUUAGCUAGUUGGUGAGGUAACGGCCCACCAAGGCGACGAUCCAUAGCCGACCUGAGAGGGUGACCGGCCACAUUGGGACUGAGACACGGCCCAAACUCCUACGGGAGGCAGCAGUGGGGAAUAUUGCACAAUGGGCGAGAGCCUGAUGCAGCGACGCCGCGUGAGCGAAGAAGUAUUUCGGUAUGUAAAGCUCUAUCAGCAGGGAAGAUAAUGACGGUACCUGACGAAGAAGCACCGGCUAAAUACGUG